rnacentral:sRNA from 1 species
AUUGUAAUCGCUAUAAACCAGAUCCCCACUCCUUGUCACUGCUAUGUCUGACGGCCUGUUUCCUGACUUGGUUUGGAUCGACUUCAAUAGCUCCCCAUGGAGAUUGUAGAGUCUCAUAAUGACGUCAUUACCACACAUCCACAUUUGUUCAUCACCAAGACAGGACACACUGCGUAGGUUGUUAGAGAUUCCAAACUCGGUGUUUAUAUCCGUGAGGACGCGUGGUUUACUGAUGAGCGGUCUGUCCAGGAGAGGGGACUUAGAAUUAGGGAAAUCCAUCGUGUAGUAGUGGUCUUCCUCUGCUUUGGGGGAUGAAGCUGACAGAGAUACCGAACCAAACUACUGAUAAAAAUACGCCUUGUUGAUCUUCUUGGAUUUCAAACUUGGUAAAGAAACUGUGAGUUUUGGAGGCAGUCUUCUGAAUUCGGCAUUCCUGGAUUUGUAGGCAGAAACAAGACUGACAGCAUCAGAAUUCAUUAACUUCUUCAGUUCGGCAAUGCUUUGCGUUAUUUCAGAAAUGGUGUGUUUGAUGUCAUCUUCCUGUUUAUUUAGAACAGCAAGGUUUUUGGUAUCAAUUUCAGAAAGUUCAGUUUUGAGCUUUUUGACGAUGUUGUCUACUUCUCUGUGCAAGUCUUCUCCAUGUCUGCUGAUAGCUGUUGUUAUUUUUUGUGAGUUUUUAUUUAGAUUAGCUUUCUGUACCGGAAUGUUAGAUGCAAUCUUUUGAUAUUUAGGAUAAAUGGAUUUCUCUAAUUCUUGUAAAUCUUUCUGCAAGACAUUUUUUUUGUUUUCUAAACUAUUCAAAAUAUCUACCACACCAUGAGUUUGGUGUUCCUUUGAGGAAACACAGAGUACACAAAUAGGAAUGAUACAAUGUUCACAGUAAAGUUCACAUAUUUUU